UUUUUAACAUACUAAUUAGAUGCAAGCUUUUUCUUUGAUUUUAUGGCCUACAUAUUUCCUAAGUUUUGCUGGCAGGAUGACAGCUGAUGUAUCCCUUGAGGUCUCAGGAAAACGCUGAUGAGGCAAGCCCAGCAGGGGACUUUCCCCUUCUAUCUCAGUCCCCUUUCUCACCAUUUUCCUCCCUCCUUCUCUACUGGGGGUGCCAAGAGAGCUGGGAAUAAUUGAUGGCUCAUUAAAGCCCCUCUUUCCGCAGACUGCUUACUCGGCGCUCCCAAAGUCCAGCCUUGCCUGGAGCUGGCAGCGGCUCCGGGCCUGAGGACCAUGGUGCCCAUGUAGGAGACCAUGGUCUCCUUUCCGAAGCAGGGCAGGCCACACCAUGGGCUCCACACGGGCAGUGACAGUCCUCCUGCCUUUCACCUUGGACCUGGCCUGUGACUAGUGCAGAGCAGGGGCUCAGUUUAUGCCCAGUGGGGACGUGUGCUGAGGUCAUGCUUCCGGCUUCUUUGUGCUGUUCCAGAAAUCCAGGACCACUGUAGGGAGAGCGGCCGCCCCCGAGCACGUCCUCUGUGCUCCUGCAUGCCGGGCUUUCCAUGUAGCUUCUCUGGUUCUCACAACAGUCCCAGGAAGCAGGAUUACAGUCUCCAUUUUGCAGAUAAGAAAGCCAAGGCGUACGGAGGGUAAGGGACAUUACCCAAGUCACUAGUGAUGUUGGAAACCGGAUCGAAACUCAGAACUAUACACAGUCAGUCUUCCAUCUGGCAGAAAGGAAAUCUCUAACGUUGUCAAUUACCCGAUACAGUCUUACCACCUUUUAAGAAGGAAAAUUUAGGGCACUAGGUGGGCUCCUGAGAUGAAUGAGACACUUAGUAGGCCCUGUCCCCAGGGGCCUAAAGUCCCAUCUCAGGUAAAGAAGCUAAUCACUACACAAAGCAGAAUGAAGUCCAUGCUAGUUAAUUCUGCUGCAGAUUAAAAGGAGCUUAAAGAUCCAGGGAGGCUGCACAGAGGAGGUACUUUUUUUUUUUUUUUUUGGUGGUGGUAAAAUAUAUGUCAGAUUUACCAUCGCAACCAUCACCACCAUCUGUCCACAGAAUUAAUUUUCGUCUUGCAAAACUGAAACUCUGUGCCCAUUAAACCCUCACUCUCCUUCCCCCAGUCCCUGGCCGCCACCCUUGUACUUUCUGUCUCUGUGAAGCUGAUUGGCCAAGAAGGCGGCUUCUGGAAGCAUGUGCAGGACCUCUGUAGGCAGACGCGGGCAUCCCUCAUCACGUGCCCGCCUCCUUGGAUGCAGCCUUGGAACUGUAACCCGGAAACACUUUCUAGUGCAAGCCCUGUGCCAAGGGUUACUGUGGAAAUGGCGGGCCAGGUCUCUUCAGUGUCCAAGUCCCUGGGGAAAGUUGCCGGAAUUCCACGCGGCUGCAGGGCCGUUGUGCAGGGGAGAGCUCAGAGGGUUCCUGACUCAGAACCGUUCUGUUGAUGGCAGAAGGACUGAGCCAAAGACUCCAGAAUGCUUUCAGAAAUUGGCUGCUGGCCCUUUGAUUUGCUUUUGUUCUUGAUGGUUUGAAAUCUCCUCUAGAAGCUCAUAAACACAUACCUCCAUACUGACUGGGGGCUCUCGGCACCCCGAGCAGCACCUCUGCGAUAUUGAAGCUGCAGAAGCCGAAGGGGUUCUCUUUUGAUGACGUGUUGAUGUGUGUGUGACUCGCACCGGGUCAUGGCUACCAUGACCACUAGGCUGUGUGGAGGCAGGACAGAACCCUGGCGAGAGGCCUGCCUCUGACCUUCGCCAGCCACUUACUUCUCUAAGCCACAGUCCUUCGUCUGUGAGAUGGAGAUAACCGGCCUCAGAAGGGUCUGUGAGGCUCCGGUGAGGUUCCGUACGUGCAGCACUGACGUGUGGCUGGCACAUGGCACGUGCUUGACAAACAUCAGCUGCCUUUACCAUUGGGAUCAGUGUGCAAGCCUGUCCAGUGAUACAUGGAUCUGAGCCUCACAGACCAGCACGAUUCUGUCCGUCUAUGUCACUCAGGGCAGGCCGAAGUUGAACCACAGUUGGGUGCCUGGGACAAAGUACGUGCUCAGCAAACAGAGGCUCCUCCCUUCCGAUGUCCUUGGCCUAGUCCUUUGACCUGGAGCUCACGGCAGCUGGACUCGGGGGCAAGCAGGGGAGCUGGUGGACCAGCACCCAGCCCCGACUCCUCGGGGCGCUGUUCCGACCCGAUGACACUGUUAGCGUGAGAAGCAAAGGACACGUUUCCUUCUCCUUUAAAUGGGUCUCAUUUUAAUGAAACCCCUGAUGUCCCGUUGCUGCAGAUACGUGUUCUCCUAGGGAAGUGUACCAGUAGACCUUCCAAGUUCAUCGCUGUCAUUAAGAAAUCGGUCAGACACGGAUUUUCCUUUCCCAGGUCCUAGUUUGUGGUUACGUCUGUGUCUCCCAGAGUUUUCAGUGUGAAAACACGGUAUCCUUCUCCCCCUUUCCUCUUCCUCCUGCACUUUUUAAAGGAGGAGCAUUUAAAGCUUAGGCUUCAGUGACCUGAAGCAGGCUUGUGAGCGCGGCCCAGGUCCCUGUCCUGCAGACAGUUCUCCCCUUCCGACAGCCCAGGCUUUUCCCUCUCCGUCUUAACAUAAACAGAACAGCUUGUAUUCCAUGUCUGAAUAGUAAACCUGCUGUCUAAA